AUCGCUUCUCGGCCUUUUGGCUAAGAUCAAGUGUAUCUGUGUACCUUUCAGCAAGUUACUAAAAAUUUUUGGCCCUUUAAAAGGACUUUUUAAAUAUUUUUUUUAGAGAUCACUGGUUACACUGAGAGUGCCAAGCCCUUAGUAAGUACCUCCAAAUU
rnacentral:snRNA from 1 species